rnacentral:rRNA from 1 species
CGGGGGGGUAGCUUGCUACCUGCCGGCGAGUGGCGAACGGGUGAGUAAUACAUCGGAACGUGCCCUGUAGUGGGGGAUAACUAGUCGAAAGACUAGCUAAUACCGCAUACGACCUGAGGGUGAAAGUGGGGGACCGCAAGGCCUCAUGCUAUAGGAGCGGCCGAUGUCUGAUUAGCUAGUUGGUGGGGUAAGGGCCCACCAAGGCGACGAUCAGUAGCUGGUCUGAGAGGACGAUCAGCCACACUGGGACUGAGACACGGCCCAGACUCCUACGGGAGGCAGCAGUGGGGAAUUUUGGACAAUGGGGGCAACCCUGAUCCAGCAAUGCCGCGUGUGUGAAGAAGGCCUUCGGGUUGUAAAGCACUUUUGUCCGGAAAGAAAUCGCACUGGUUAAUACCUGGUGUGGAUGACGGUACCGGAAGAAUAAGGACCGGCUAACUACGUGCCAGCAGCCGCGGUAAUACGUAGGGUCCAAGCGUUAAUCGGAAUUACUGGGCGUAAAGCGUGCGCAGGCGGUUGUGCAAGACCGAUGUGAAAUCCCCGGGCUUAACCUGGGAAUUGCAUUGGUGACUGCACGGCUAGAGUGUGUCAGAGGGAGGUAGAAUUCCACGUGUAGCAGUGAAAUGCGUAGAGAUGUGGAGGAAUACCGAUGGCGAAGGCAGCCUCCUGGGAUAACACUGACGCUCAUGCACGAAAGCGUGGGGAGCAAACAGGAUUAGAUACCCUGGUAGUCCACGCCCUAAACGAUGUCAACUAGUUGUUGGGGAUUCAUUUCCUUAGUAACGUAGCUAACGCGUGAAGUUGACCGCCUGGGGAGUACGGUCGCAAGAUUAAAACUCAAAGGAAUUGACGGGGACCCGCACAAGCGGUGGAUGAUGUGGAUUAAUUCGAUGCAACGCGAAAAACCUUACCUACCCUUGACAUGCCACUAACGAAGCAGAGAUGCAUUAGGUGCUCGAAAGAGAAAGUGGACACAGGUGCUGCAUGGCUGUCGUCAGCUCGUGUCGUGAGAUGUUGGGUUAAGUCCCGCAACGAGCGCAACCCUUGUCUCUAGUUGCUACGAAAGGGCACUCUAGAGAGACUGCCGGUGACAAACCGGAGGAAGGUGGGGAUGACGUCAAGUCCUCAUGGCCCUUAUGGGUAGGGCUUCACACGUCAUACAAUGGUGCAUACAGAGGGUUGCCAAGCCGCGAGGUGGAGCUAAUCCCAGAAAAUGCAUCGUAGUCCGGAUCGUAGUCUGCAACUCGACUACGUGAAGCUGGAAUCGCUAGUAAUCGCGGAUCAGCAUGCCGCGGAUCC